rnacentral:misc_RNA from 1 species
AAGUCGUAACAAGGUUUCCGUAGGUGAACCUGCGGAAGGAUCAUUAUAGAAAACAGAAAGACUGCCUGCGCUUAAGUGCGCGGCGGAUCUUCACUGACACACCGUGAAGACAGUAUUAAAGCUUUACUUCUAAACAAAACACAGACAAACCUUUUAUUAUAUUUUUUAUACAGCAGUCUAGCAAGAUUUCUUAAUUGAAAAGCAAACAAAUUAAAACUUUCAACAACGGAUCUCUUGGUUCUCGC